CCCUAUGGGGUGCAGCAGUCGCGCAAACUCCGCAAUAUGCGAAAGCAUGACGGGGCCAUCCCGAGUGCCAUCCGCUGAGGAUAGCUUUUCUCUAGUGUAAACAGCUGGAGGAAUAAGGAGAGGGCAAGCCUGGUGUCAGCCGCCGCGGUAAUACCAGCUCUCCGAGUGGUGGGGAUUCUUAUUGGGCCUAAAGCAUUCGUAGCUUGCUGGGUAAGUCCUUUGUUAAAUCCACCGACUCAAUCGUUGGAAUGCGAGGGAUACUGCUUAGCUAGGGGGCGGGAGAGGUCGACGGUAUUUCUGGGGUAGGAGUGAAAUCUUAUAAUCCCAGGAGGACCACCAGUGGCGAAGGCUGUCGACUGGAACGCGCCCGACGGUGAGGGAUGAAAGCUGGGGGAGCGAACCGGAUUAGAUACCCGGGUAGUCCCAGCUGUAAACGAUGCAGGCUAGGUGUCAGCGUGGCUACAAGCCACGUUGGUGCCGCAGGGAAGCUGUUGAGCCUGCCGCCUGGGGAGUACGAUCGCAAGAUUGAAACUUAAAGGAAUUGGCGGGGGAGCACCACAAGGGGUGAAGCUUGCGGUUUAAUUGGAGUCAACACCGGAAACCUUACCGGGGGCGACAGCAGAAUGAAGGCCAGAUUAAAGGUCUUGCUGGACAAGCUGAGAGGUGGUGCAUGGCC
rnacentral:rRNA from 1 species